CAUCCCAAUUUUCAAACGAGGUCACUGAACAACAAAAAAAAAUGGACAAAGACAUUGAAAAUAUUUUGCACGAGGCAUCGUCGGUGAUUGAACAAGAAAAAAAGGACGAAGAGAUUUUGUUGGCCAAGGUGUGUCUCCGCAUCACAACAAUAAUGUUCAUAUUGAGUUUCAUCGGAAUGGUUGAUUUGUUGCUGCUACCCCAAAGAAAAUGGGUUGCAAUUUUUGGGCCUCUAGCUUAUCCUGUUUUUGAUUAUAUCAUUUCAGAUGACUCACUCAAUUGCUUUUUAUUUGCAUUCAAGAGAAUUUUGUUUGAAGGA